rfam:Mesocricetus auratus contig211158, whole genome shotgun sequence.
GUCUGCAGCCAUACCACUCUGCAUGCACCCGAUCUUCUCUGAUCUUGGAUGCUAAGCAGCAUCGGGCCUGGUUAGUGCUUGGAUGGGAGGCAGUGUAGUGUGAAUGCAUUCA